UGGGGAAUAUUGGACAAUGGGCGAAAGCCUGAUCCAGCCAUGCCGCGUGUGUGAAGAAGGUCUUCGGAUUGUAAAGCACUUUAAGUUGGGAGGAAGGGCAGUAAGCGAAUACCUUGCUGUUUUUACGUUACCGACAGAAUCAGCACCGGCUAACUCUGUGCCAGCAGCCGCGGUAAUACAGAGGGUGCAAGCGUUAAUCGGAAUUACUGGGCGUAAAGCGCGCGUAGGUGGUUCGUUAAGUUGAAUGUGAAAGCCCCGGGCUCAACCUGGGAACUGCAUCCAAAACUGGCGAGCUAGAGUAGGGCAGAGGGUGGUGGAAUUUCCUGUGUAGCGGUGAAAUGCGUAGAUAUAGGAAGGAACACCAGUGGCGAAGGCGACCACCUGGGCUCAUACUGACACUGAGGUGCGAAAGCGUGGGGAGCAAACAGG
rnacentral:rRNA from 1 species